CCUACGGGGAGCAGCAGUCGAGAAUCAUUCACAAUGGGGGAAACCCUGAUGGUGCGACGCCGCGUGGGGGAAUGAAGGUCUUCGGAUUGUAAACCCCUGUCAUGUGGGAGCAAAUUAAAAAGAUAGUACCACAAGAGGAAGAGACGGCUAACUCUGUGCCCGCAGCCGCGGUCAUACAGAGGUCUCAAGCGUUGUUCGGAAUCACUGGGCGUAAAGCGUGCGUAGGCUGUUUCGUAAGUCGUGUGUGAAAGGCGCGGGCUCAACCCGCGGACGGCACAUGAUCCUGCGAGACUAGAGUAAUGGAGGGGGAACCGGAAUUCUCGGUGUAGCAGUGAAAUGCGUAGAUAUCGAGAGGAACACUCGUGGCGAAGGCGGGUUCCUGGACAUUAACUGACGCUGAGGCACGAAGGCCAGGGGAGCGAAAGGGAUUAGAUACCCGGGUAGUC
rnacentral:rRNA from 1 species